rnacentral:rRNA from 1 species
GACGAACGCUGGCGGCGUGCUUAACACAUGCAAGUCGAACGGAAAGGCCUCUUUCGGGGGGUACUCGAGUGGCGAACGGGUGAGUAACACGUGAGUAACCUGCCCUUGACUUUGGGAUAACUUCAGGAAACUGGGGCUAAUACCGGAUAGGAGCUCCUGCUGCAUGGUGGGGGUUGGAAAGUUUCGGCGGUUGGGGAUGGACUCGCGGCUUAUCAGCUUGUUGGUGGGGUAGUGGCUUACCAAGGCUUUGACGGGUAGCCGGCCUGAGAGGGUGACCGGCCACAUUGGGACUGAGAUACGGCCCAGACUCCUACGGGAGGCGGCAGUGGGGAAUAUUGCACAAUGGGUGGAAGCCUGAUGCAGCAACGCCGUGUGCGGGAUGACGGCCUUCGGGUUGUAAACCGCUUUCGCUCAUGACGAAGCUUUGUGUGACGGUAGUGGGUAAAGAAGCACCGGCUAACUACGUG